ACACUGCUGAGGAGUCCCAUACUAAGACGAAACGGCCGUCCAGUAC
rnacentral:hammerhead_ribozyme from 1 species